rnacentral:lncRNA from 1 species
UGCAGCAAUGAUCUUGAAAACUACUGCUCCAAGCAAAUACUCACCUACGGUGCCCCUUAUCUGGAUGGGACCAUCACUCGUGGAGGCUACUCCAACAUCAUGGUUGCAGACGAGCAUUUCAUCAUCCGUUGGCCUGAGAACUUUCCCCUUGAUGCCGGGGCUCCUCUCCUGUGUGCCGGCAUCACAACUUACAGCCCGCUAAGGUACUUUGGACUAGACAAGCCCGGGCUAAGUGUUGGUGUCAAUGGUCUUGGUGGCCUAGGUCACGUUGCUGUGAAAUUCGCCAAAGCUUUUGGGACGAAGGUGACAGUUAUCAGCACGUCUC